GGCCUUCGGGAGCCAGAACACAGGUGCUGCAUGGCUGUCGUCAGCUCGUGUCGUGAGAUGUUGGUUAAGUCCCGCAACGAGCGCAACCCUUGUCAUUAGUUGCCAUCAUUUAGUUGGGCACUCUAAUGAGACUGCCGGUGACAAACCGGAGGAAGGUGGGGAUGACGUCAAGUCCUUAUGGCCCUUAUAGGUGGGGCUACACACGUCAUACAAUGGCCGGUACAAAGGGUCGCAAACCCGCGAGGGGGAGCCAAUCCAUCAAAGCCGGUCGUAGUCCGGAUCGCAGUCUGCAACUCGACUGCGUGAAGUCGGAAUCGCUAGUAAUCGUGGAUCAGCAUGUCACGGUGAAUACGUUCCCGGGUCUU
rnacentral:rRNA from 1 species